AAACAAACGAUGAGAAGAAAUAGUAAUCCUUUAUGAACUGGUUUAGCGAAUCGGGAUGGGUGGAAGCCUGAUACAGAGUCUUUAGGAUGAAUGGCUCUUCGAGUUGCGAUCUGAACACGUGAGUUAGUAGGUGAUGCCGGGGGUUUCCCGUUAUAGAAACAGGAUAUCGAGAAGGCGUUUAUUGAGCACAUCAUGAAUGCGCAGAAAAGAAAUGCACUUACUCCGUAUCUGGUUAAUGAGAUAUUGUUGCUAUUGCCUUUUGGGGUAUAGAUUCAAUAUAAAAAAGGUGGCACCACGGAAGCAAACUUCUGUCCUUUGU
rnacentral:ncRNA from 1 species